rnacentral:rRNA from 1 species
AAAUGAAUAGACGGGGGCCCGCACAAGCGGUGGAGCAUGUGGGUUAAUCGGAUGAUACGCCGAGAACCUUACCAGGGCUUGACAUGGCCGUGCCAGCCUAUGAAAGUAGGUCUUCUCCGCAAGGAGACGCGGUCACAGGUGGUGCAUGGUUGUCGUCAGCUCGUGCCGUGAGGUGUUGGGUUAAGUCCCGCAACGAGCGCAACCCUCGCCGGAUGUUGCCAGCAGGUCAAGCUGGGCACUCUUCCGGGACUGCCCGAGCAAUCGGGAGGAAGGAGAGGACGACGUCAAAUCGGCAUGCCCCUUACGCCCUGGGCUGCACACGUGCUACAAUGGCGAGUACAAAGGGUUGCUAAGCCGCGAGGUGGAGCCAAUCCCCCAAAACUCGUCCCAGUUCGGAUCGGAUGUCUGCAACUCGACUCCGUGAAGCCGGAAUCGCUAGUAACCGUGGAUCAGCAAUGCCGCGGUGAAUACGUUCCCGGGCCUUGUACACACCGCCCGU